rnacentral:rRNA from 1 species
GAUGAACGCUGGCGGCGUGCCUAAUACAUGCAAGUCGAACGCAUAGCGAAAGGUUCUUGCCCCUUUCAAGUGAGUGGCGAACGGGUGAGUAACACGUGGACAACCUGCCUCAAGGCUGGGGAUAACAUUUGGAAACAGAUGCUAAUACCGAAUAAAACUUAGUGUCGCAUGACACAAAGUUAAAAGGCGCUUCGGCGUCACCUAGAGAUGGAUCCGCGGUGCAUUAGUUAGUUGGUGGGGUAAAGGCCUACCAAGACAAUGAUGCAUAGCCGAGUUGAGAGACUGAUCGGCCACAUGGGGACUGAGACACGGCCCAAACUCCUACGGGGGGCUGCAGUAGGGAAUCUUCCACAAUGGGCGAAAGCCUGAUGGAGCAACACGGCGUGUGUGAUGAAGGCUUUCGGGUCGUAAAGCACUGUUGUAUGGGAAGAACUGCUAGUAUAGGAAAUGAUUUUAGUUUGACGGUACCAUACCAGAAAGGGACGGCUAAAUACGUG